rnacentral:rRNA from 1 species
UACGGAGGGUGCGAGCGUUGCUCGGAAUCAUUGGGCGUAAAGCGUACGCAGGCGGCUUUAUAAGUCGGGUGUGAAAGCCCAGGGCUCAACCCUGGAAUUGCGCCCGAGACUGUAGGGCUUGAAUGCGGGAGAGGGAAGCGGAAUUCCUGGUGUAGAGGUGAAAUUCGUAGAUAUCAGGAGGAACACCGGUGGCGAAAGCGGCUUCCUGGCCCGACAUUGACGCUCAUGUACGAAAGCGUGGGGAGCAAAC